CCGCUGAGAAGCUAUUGAAUUCAACUGCCCACUAUCACGUUAUAUCAAGUUACAGACAGUGAGGCCAAGUAAGAUAAGGCCACAAUCUUUUGUUCCUGAAUCGCUGGACAUUACUGGAUGUGCGCUGUUCGUACUUUCAAGUGUGGGACCAAUUAAUCACUAUCAUGAGCUGUGCAGUCCAAUUCAGACACAGAGCAGAUGUUCCUCGCUUUAGAACAAAAGGCUGGUACACACCAACAAAAACCUUAGACCUUAAGGGAAAGGU